CGUAUAUAUAUAAUAUAUAUCAUAAUAUAAUAUAAAUAUUUUAAAUUUUCGCGUACCUACCCUCAAAUUUUUCUCGUGAGACAUGUAUUUGAAUCCCUGCAUUAUGAGGUGGAUCAAAUUGGAAGACUCUGGGGUUAUAUAAUAUAUAAUUUAUGGUAACAGAAAUGGUUGUGAGACAACUUGGGACAACUUGGUCCUAGUUCGGAUAAACCCAAAGAAAAAUAAGUUGAUUAAGUAUUUAAAAAAAUUUUAAUGUUGAUGUGUAUUGUAUAUUUUUAAAUAAUAAUAAUUUUUAAAUCCAAUAGCGAUUUUAGUAUCCUGUGGAUUUAGAGAUGUUAUAGAUAACUCAACGAACGCUGAAAUGACCGGAACACAAUAUGAAGGAAUAAUAAACCAACUUACCUAUGGUAUGUUGUUUUUGAUUUAUGUUAUACAAUAUUGUAUUAGAUUAAUCAUUCGUAAUAUGUAAAUAUAUAUUAAAUACUAUAAGUUGUUUUUAAGUCACAACACUAUAGCCAUAGAUAUAGCGGACAAGCGUAUUAUGCUGAUUCCUGCGUUUUUUAGAAUUAGUCAUC